rnacentral:rRNA from 1 species
UUCCAGACUCCUACGGGAGGCAGCAGUGGGGAAUAUUGCACAAUGGGGGGAACCCUGAUGCAGCAAUGCCGCGUGAAGGAUGAAGGUUUUCGGAUUGUAAACUUCUUUUCUCGGGGACGAAGAAAGUGACGGUACCUGAGGAAUAAGCCACGGCUAACUACGUGCCAGCAGCCGCGGUAAUACGUAGGUGGCAAGCGUUAUCCGGAUUUAUUGGGUGUAAAGGGCGUGUAGGCGGGAGCGCAAGUCAGAUGUGAAAACUCAGGGCUCAACCCUGAGCCUGCAUUUGAAACUGUGUUUCUUGAGUGCUGGAGAGGCAAUCGGAAUUCCGUGUGUAGCGGUGAAAUGCGUAGAUAUACGGAGGAACACCAGUGGCGAAGGCGGAUUGCUGGACAGUAACUGACGCUGAGGCGCGAAAGCGUGGGGAGCAAACAGGAUUAGAUACCCGAGUACA